rnacentral:rRNA from 1 species
UACGUAGGGUGCAAGCGUUAAUCGGAAUUACUGGGCGGAAAGCGUGCGCAGGCGGUUCCAUAAGACAGAUGUGAAAUCCCCGGGCUCAACCUGGGAACUGCAUUUGUGACUGUGGGGCUAGAGUACGGUAGAGGGGGAUGGAAUUCCGCGUGUAGCAGUGAAAAGCGUAGAUAUGCGGAGGAACACCAAUGGCGAAGGCAAUUCCCUGGACCUGUACUGACGCUCAUGCACGAAAGCGUGGGGAGCAAACAGG